UACGUAGGUCCCGAGCGUUGUCCGGAUUUAUUGGGCGUAAAGCGAGCGCAGGUGGUUUAUUAAGUCUGGUGUAAAAGGCAGUGGCUCAACCAUUGUAUGCAUUGGAAACUGGUAGACUUGAGUGCAGGAGAGGAGAGUGGAAUUCCAUGUGUAGCAGUGGAAUGCGUAGAUAUAUGGAGAAACACCGGUGGCGAAAGCGGCUCUCUGGCCUGUAACUGACACUGAGGCUCGAAAGCGUGGGGAGCAAACAGG
rnacentral:rRNA from 1 species